rnacentral:rRNA from 1 species
AUGGCGACCGGCGCACGGGUGAGUAACACGUAUCCAACCUGCCGAUAACUCGGGGAUAGCCUUUCGAAAGAAAGAUUAAUACCCGAUGGCAUAAUAGAACCGCAUGAGAUUGAUAUUAAAGAAUUUCGGUUAUCGAUGGGGAUGCGUUCCAUUAGUUUGUUGGCGGGGUAACGGCCCACCAAGACUACGAUGGAUAGGGGUUCUGAGAGGAAGGUCCCCCACAUUGGAACUGAGACACGGUCCAA